rnacentral:rRNA from 1 species
AUUGAACGCUGGCGGCAGGCCUAACACAUGCAAGUCGAACGAGUGGCGGACGGGUGAGUAAUGUCUGGGAAACUGCCUGAUGGAGGGGGAUAACUACUGGAAACGGUAGCUAAUACCGCAUACCAUCGGAUGUGCCCCUAUGGGACUAGCGGGUAGGUGUGGUAACGGCUCACCUAGGCGACGAUCCCUAGCUGGUCGGAGAGGAUGACCAUCCACACUGGAACUGGGAAACGGUCCAGACUCCUACGGGAGGCAGCAGUGGGGAAUAGUGCACAGUGGGCGCAAUCCUGAUGCAGCCAUUCCGCGUGUAUGAAGAAGGCCUUCGGGUUGUAAAGUACUUUCAGCGGGGAUGCGUUACCCGCAUAAGAAGCACCGGCUAACUCCGUGCCAGCAGCCGCGGUAAUUC